rnacentral:sRNA from 1 species
GAACGCACGGAUGAUGGGACGGCAGCAA